AGAGUUUGAUCAUGGCUCAGGAUGAACGCUGGCGGCGUGCCUAAUACAUGCAAGUCGAGCGAACUGAUUAGAAGCUUGCUUCUAUGACGUUAGCGGCGGACGGGUGAGUAACACGUGGGCAACCUGCCUGUAAGACUGGGAUAACUUCGGGAAACCGAAGCUAAUACCGGAUAGGAUCUUCUCCUUCAUGGGAGAUGAUUGAAAGAUGGUUUCGGCUAUCACUUGCAGAUGGGCCCGCGGUGCAUUAGCUAGUUGGUGAGGUAACGGCUCACCAAGGCAACGAUGCAUAGCCGACCUGAGAGGGUGAUCGGCCACACUGGGACUGAGACACGGCCCAGACUCCUACGGGAGGCAGCAGUAGGGAAUCUUCCGCAAUGGACGAAAGUCUGACGGAGCAACGCCGCGUGAGUGAUGAAGGCUUUCGGGUCGUAAAACUCUGUUGUUAGGGAAGAACAAGUACAAGAGUAACUGCUUGUACCUUGACGGUACCUAACCAGAAAGCCACGGCUAACUACGUGCCAGCAGCCGCGGUA
rnacentral:rRNA from 1 species